rnacentral:misc_RNA from 1 species
AAGUCGUAACAAGGUUUCCGUAGGUGAACCUGCGGAAGGAUCAUUAAUGAAUAACUAUGGUGGGUUGUCGCUGGCUUUUCAAAGCAUGUGCACACCUGCUGUCUUUAUCUAUCCCACUGUGCACACUUUGUAGUCUUGGGGGGAAAUGUGAGUUUCACACCUUCUCUCCUCCAGGUCUAUGUCUUUUCCACACACGUAGUAUGUCAUAGAAUGUAAUCAUAGAGCCUUUGUGCCUAUAAAACUUUUAUACAACUUUCAGCAACGGAUCUCUUGGCUCUC